rnacentral:sRNA from 1 species
AUGGCUGUCGUCAGCUCGUGUCGUGAGAUGUUGGGUUAAGUCCCGCAACGAGCGCAACCCCUACCCUUAAUUGCCAUCGGGUUAUGCCGGGCACUUUAGGGGGACUGCCGGUGACAAGCCGGAGGAGGGUGGGGAUGACGUCAAGUCCUCAUGGCCUUUAUGACCAGGGCUACACACGUGUUACAAUGGGAGUUACAGAGGGAAGCUAAACCGCGAGGUCAUGCCAAUCCCAGAAAAACUUUCUCAGUUCGGAUCGCAGUCUGCAACUCGACUGCGUGAAGCUGGAAUCGCUAGUAAUCGCGGAUCAGCACGCCGCGGUGAAUACGUUCCCGGGCCUUGUACACACCGCCCGUCACACCAUGGGAGCCGACAAGGGCAGAAGUCGCCGAGCUAACCUUCGGGAAGCAGGCGCCCAAGCUGUUGUUGACGACUGGGGUGAAGUCGUAACAAGGUAGCCGUAGGAGAACCUGCGGCUGGAUCACCUCCUUUCUAAGGACGCCGGAGAUGCUUUAUGCUUAUCUCCGGAUAGUCAAAGUCGAAACAGACUCUCUUCUCUUCUCUCCCUUUUCUCCUGUAAAUGCUAAGUUAUGAAUUUAGAGCAACGAAGGAAUUAAAUUCGUUACUGUGGACUCCUAAUUUCAAGAGGGGCCUGUAGCUCAGCUUGGUUAGAGCGCAUCCCUGAUAAGGAUGAGGCCGGUGGUUCAAGUCCACCCAGGCCCACCAGGUUCAGUGGGGGAUUAGCUCAGCUGGUAGAGCGCCUGCUUUGCAAGCAGGAGGUCAGCGGUUCGACCCCGCUAUCCUCCACCAAAUUAAUGAACAGUAAAAAAAGGUGGUGCAGCUUAAGCAGAAGAUAAGCUUCAGCAAUUAUUUAAUAAUUUCUGAAUUUUAUUUUUUAAUAUCUUAGAUAAUUGAAUCGGAGGUUUUGGAGACACAAGAUCAAAUGUGAGGGUCUCCAAGGGUUGACGAUCUUGACUGUUAAAGUCAGGUAGUAAGGGCGCAGGGCGGAUGCCUUGGCUCUGGGAAGCGAAGAAGGACGUGGCCAGCUGCGAUAAGCCUCGGGGAAGAGCAAACAUCUUUUGAUCCGGGGAUUUCCGAAUGGGGAAACCCGG